rnacentral:rRNA from 1 species
UAAUACGGGGGGAGCAAGCGUUGUUCGGAAUUACUGGGCGUAAAGGGCGCGUAGGCGGUCAGGUAAGUGAGAUGUGAAAUCCUCCGGCUCACCCGGAGAAAUGCAUCUCAUACUGCUUGACUAGAGUUCGGGAGAGGAAUCGGGAAUUCCAGGUGUAGCGGUGAAAUGCGUAGAUAUCUGGAGGAACACCGGUGGCGAAGGCGCGAUUCUGGCCCGAUACUGACGCUGAGGCGCGAAAGCCAGGGGAGCAAACGGGAUUAGAUACCCCGGUAGUCCUGGCCGUAAACGGUGAACACUAGGUGUGGGGAGUAUCGACCCUCUCCGUGCCGCAGCCAACGCAUUAAGUGUUCCGCCUGGGGAGUACGGUCGCAAGGCUG